AUUGGACGCUGGCGGAAUGCUUUACACAUGCAAGUCGAACGGCAGCACGGGGCAACCUGGUGGCGAGUGGCGAACGGGUGAGUAAUAUAUCGGAACGUGCCCAAUCGUGGGGGAUAACGUAGCGAAAGUUACGCUAAUACCGCAUACGAUCUACGGAUGAAAGCGGGGGAUCGCAAGACCUCGCGCGAAUGGAGCGGCCGAUAUCAGAUUAGGUAGUUGGUGGGGUAAAAGGCUCACCAAGCCAACGAUCUGUAGCUGGUCUGAGAGGACGACCAGCCACACUGGAACUGAGACACGGUCCAGACUCCUACGGGAGGCAGCAGUGGGGAAUUUUGGACAAUGGGCGCAAGCCUGAUCCAGCCAUUCCGCGUGCAGGAUGAAGGACC
rnacentral:rRNA from 1 species